GACGAACGCUGGCGGCGUGCUUAACACAUGCAAGUCGAACGGAAAGGCCCUGCUUUUGUGGGGUGCUCGAGUGGCGAACGGGUGAGUAACACGUGAGUAACCUGCCCUUGACUUUGGGAUAACUUCAGGAAACUGGGGCUAAUACCGGAUAGGAGCUCCUGCUGCAUGGUGGGGGUUGGAAAGUUUCGGCGGUUGGGGAUGGACUCGCGGCUUAUCAGCUUGUUGGUGGGGUAGUGGCUUACCAAGGCUUUGACGGGUAGCCGGCCUGAGAGGGUGACCGGCCACAUUGGGACUGAGAUACGGCCCAGACUGCUACGGGAGGCAGCAGUGGGGAAUAUUGCACAAUGGGCGGACGCCUGAUGCAGCAACGCCGCGUGCGGGAUGACGGCCUUCGGGUUGUAAACCGCUUUCGCCUGUGACGAAGCGUGAGUGACGGUAAUGGGUAAAGAAGCACCGGCUAACUACGUG
rnacentral:rRNA from 1 species